rnacentral:rRNA from 1 species
AGUGAACGCUGGCGGCGUGCUUAACACAUGCAAGUCGAACGAGAACGGGCUGUAGCUUGCUAUAGUUGUCAGCUAAGUGGCGCACGGGUGAGUAAUGUAUAGGUAAUAUGCCUCUUACUAAGGGAUAACAAAUGGAAACGUUUGCUAAUACCUUAUACUCCUUAUUAACAGAAGUUAAUAAGGGAAAGAUUUAUUGGUAAGAGAUUAGCCUGUAUUGUAUCAGUUAGUUGGUGGGGUAAUGGCUUACCAAGACUAUGACACAUAACUGGUUUGAGAGGAUGAUCAGUCACACUGGAACUGAGACACGGUCCAGACUCCUACGGGAGGCAGCAGUGGGGAAUAUUGCACAAUGGACGAAAGUCUGAUGCAGCAACGCCGCGUGGAGGAUGACACAUUUCGGUGCGUAAACUCCUUUUAUAUGAGAAGAUAAUGACGGUAUUAUAUGAAUAAGCACCGGCUAACUCCGUGCCAGCCGCCGCCGUAACAC